rnacentral:misc_RNA from 1 species
UUUCCGUAGGUGAACCUGCGGAAGGAUCAUUAAAAAAUAGGACUUCCUAUGGGAGUUCAUUAAUAAUCCUACCCUUUGUGAAUUUGUUUGUUUGAAAUAAUUUUUUUCCAAAAAAAUUAUUGAAUGUCUUUCCCUGUUUUUGGUUGAAGCGUAAAAGUGGAGACCAAGCAGGGGAAUGGCAAACAUUAAUUUUUUUGAAAAAAGACCUUUUUUUAAAAUUAAACUUUUUGUAUUCAUUUGUCUAAAAUUAUUUUAUAAUAUAAAAACAACUUUUGACAAUGGAUCUCUUGGUUCUCGCAACGAUGAAGAACGCAGCAAAAUGCGAUAAGUAAUGUGAAUUGCAGAAUACGUGAAUCAUCGAAUCUUCGAACGCAUAUUGCACUUUUUUAGUUUACUAAAAAGUAUGUCUGUUUGAGUAUCAGUAAAUAUUCUCAUAAAAACUUUUUUUGUUUUUAUGGUUAUGAGUGUUUUACAACGAUAAACAAGUUGUUUCACUUUAAAUUCUUUGAAAUUUAAAAAAUCGUUAAAACUAAUUUUAAAAUGAUUUUUUAAAAUUGGAUAAAAUUUUCCCGUAAAAAAGGAAUAACCUAAACAAUUUUAAAAAAUUUAAAAUUGGUUGAUUUUUUUAAAUCCCAAAGGAAAAAAGUAAAAAUUAACUUGAUCUCAAAUCAGAUAAGAGUACCCGCUGAACUUAAGCAUAUCAAUAAGCGGAGGAAAAGAAACUAACUAGGAUUCCCUCAGUAACGGCGAGUGAAGCGGGAAGAGCUCAAAUUUGAAAUCUUCAAGGUUCUACCUUGACGAAUUGUAGUUUAAAGAAGUGUUUUCUGUUGGAAUAGUUUGGUAUAAGUUCUUUGGAAUAGGACAUCAUGGAGGGUGAGAAUCCCGUAACGACCAUUUAUUCCAGCUCUGUGAUACACUUUCAAAGAGUCGGAUUGUUUGGGAAUGCAGUCCAAAAUGGUGGUAAAUUUCAUCUAAAGCUAAAUAUUGGCGAGAGACCGAUAGCGAACAAGUACCGUGAGGGAAAGAUGAAAAGAACUUUGAAAAGAGAGUUAAACAGUACGUGAAAUUGUCAAAGGGAAGCGUUUGACACCAGUGUUGUUUUCUCGAAAAUCAAUUAAAAAUGUUGAUUUUGUGUUGUAGCGACCUUAUCAGCUUUGCACUCUUUUCUGCUUUUUUAAUGCACUUUUCGUUUAACAAGUCAACAUCAAUUUCUUUUGUUGUAAAAGGGUCAUUGGAAGGUGGCUUUCUUUUCGGAGAAAGUGUUUAUAGCCUUUGCUCUCUGCAAUCGGAGAGACUGAGGUCUGCAGCGUAGAUCCUUCGGGGUUAGAUACAUUAGUGCUAAGUUAUACCUUUCAUAGACAACUUGUUGACUAUGAUCAGUCAUGUAGCUUACUCGCUGAUGUUAUUUUACCUACGCUUAGGAUGUUG